GUGCUCGCUCCGGCAGCACAUAUAUUAAAAUUGGAACAAUACAGACAAGAUGAGCAUGGCCCUGGGAUGAUACGUGAAGGGAACGGCGCUGCCAAUUCUGUU
ensembl:snRNA U6 U6 spliceosomal RNA